AGCAGUGCUUGCCACGAGCAACUCAAAACUGUAUGUAACAUUUCAACCCACUUUGUCAUGGCACUUCAAGUGUGCAGAGAAAGCUUCAAACUCCAGCAGUUAUGGAUUCAGAUUACAUGUUCGUGACAAGAAAAGAAAAAAAAAAAGAAAAAGAAAUAAUCAAAGGAUAGUUGCAGUGACUCAUAUAAUUGGGAGUCCCAUUCAAAUGCAGAACAUUAAGCAGAAAUUGGAAUUAGUAAUACUGCAGAAAGAACAGAAUAUAACAUAUUUACAGAUUGGAAACAGCUUGGCUUUUUACACAGUAGAAUUAGUAGCCUGCUGCCUUAAAGCUUGCACUGUCACUGACGCAGCAAAGAUGGCUUUAAGUAUGAGCUUUCUGGUUGCACGGAGUUCUGCGCUUGUAGUCCUGGCUAGGUGUGCUGGUACAAAAAGGGAAGGGUCAGCUGCUGCAAAUGCCCUGGCAAAGUGGGAUAGGGGAAGCAAGAGGGGAGGCCUGUGUUCUGGUAGAACACAGAGGCUACGAGGGAGAAUGGUCCAUUGAAGUCAUUCUCCUUAAAUGAGUGUAGUACUUCUCUGCUCAUGGAAAAAAUAGGCUAUUGGGGUUGUGUCGAUGUGGGAUGCUGGUGUGGAUGAUGAUUCAAGGCAAGAGGUUCUGGAAGUGCUUUGAAGAAUCCUCUUGAUGAGCCAGUACCUGCAGUGACUGCAAAGAAGGCCUCAGGAUUUUGUGUCCCUCCACUGAGGUUGGUCUGUGAAAAAAUCAGAUUUGUAAUUGAGCUCUAUUUUGACCUUUUCUGAACAUGUAUCAUACAACUUUUUCUUAAAAUUAGAGCUUUUAAAUUCCAGCCAAAGCAAUUUUCAUGUCUAAAUAGUCUGUUUUUAUGAUUGCACUCAUCAUAGUGUAAGAAUGGUCAUGUUUAGAGAGAGCGGGAUCCAAAUCUCACAGGCUCCUUCCUUUGUCAUUGUUUAGGAGAGAUGCUUAGAGAAGGCUAUGGGAAUGGGGCACCCUCAGAGUGAGGGAGCCUGGCAUGCCCUUCUGUUGAUCAGUGCUUCAGAAACUUGUAGAACCGAAGCAUGCACCCAGUCCAAACCGUGGUUUGAGUCAAGUGACAUUUUCUUCAUUAAUUUGCCUAGUCUUUUUCUGAACCCAGUUGUACUUCUGGCCACCAUACUAUUCCAUAGCAGCAGGUUCCACAUUUUAAUGUUUGUAAUGAUUAACAUGAGCCUUAAUGGAUUCAAGAGGCUUGAGAUUACUUGUCCCAGAGGCUGUCCAGUUCCUCAGUUUUAUCAGUCACUUUUCUGUGUGCAGGUGGUCUGGGCAGUGAGCCGCAAAGUUGGUGAUGCUUCGUGUACCCAAGGAGCAGCCAAGAUCCAGGCAUGCAUACAGGAGUGAGGAGCUGCCUGGACCCAGAGGGCUGAGAGGACUGCAGCACAGAGCUGUCUGUGGAUACGUUUGCUGAGGCAUUUCAGGGACAAAUCUUGACAUUCUUCACCUAAAAACUCCACUGACGCUCAUGAAGAGUUUGCAAUCCAGAAGGAUCUAGACAUGGAGCUGCAUGCUUGGUUCAUACAGGAAAAAAGACUUCAUGAAGCACGUGCCCUUGCAGCCAGGACACAGCCCUGGUGAUAAGCCCUAUGUAUCAGUGAAACCGUGCUCCAUGAACACCCGUGCAAAGGUUCAGAGCCCUGAUUUGAAUUUUUGGGCUUGUUUGUGUUUCAAAAGCAAAGCCACUGAACUGCAUCUUGAAAAACAUACUCCAGCGCAGGCUUCCUCCAAACACAGCCAAGGUUUGAUCAAAAGGUUCUCAGGUCUGCGGCCCUUCUGACAAACCUGAUGAAUAUUUGCACUUACAAAGUAAACCCCAAACCAAGGGAAUUUGCAUGGGCUCGCCAUGGAGAUUUCUUUUUUCCAGCUCUUGCGAAAAUCCUAUCUCUGCCCUGGGACUGGGCUUUGGCGGCCGGCGUUCUGCUAUUUGUAUUUAUAUACCUGCCAGCAGGCACAAAAAACAAAUACCUACACCCAGACAAAAAUACCUGACUGUGUUUGUAAAGCCCAAAUAAGAAGCCAUGUUGUAUUUCAGUUUGAUGGCAAUGCCCGUCCGUAUGGAUCAGGUCACGCGGUGUUCACUUGUCCAAAACACUGAGAUAAUCCCUUCUGCACAGAGAAAUACGUUUUAAUUACGGAGCAAUAAAUACGGUGUCUCUUUUUGCUGGUUGCGUUUUCUAUCAGCAGACAAAAGCUGACAUUCGUUUCGCUGAUAGCCUGAUGUUCCCCCACCGCCGCUGCCGAAUUUCCCUAGCCCAAGGAAAUUGAAAGGAUCAGAGCACAUCUGAUGUUCCAUUAAUUUAAAGCAGCUGCCAGGACUUGCAUAUUGUAGCAGCUUUAAAGUGAUUGAAUUUGGAUUAUUUCAAACUCUGCAAAGUCCUGCCUCGCCCGGCUGAGGCAUAUCGAGUGACAACAUAAAAUAUGAGCCCGGCCGAGGGAUAUCUGCGAGCACACACGUUCUCCCCGCGCACGCAGCCCUGCAACAGGCGGAUCGGAGGCGGUGGAACACGCAGCGCCGGGACAGUUGCGGUCGCUCUGCGGCAGCAGCGCAGCGAGGUGGGGACACCUGGCGUCCAUCGCCGAGGGGACGCGGGCCGGGGCUGUGCCAGGUGCAGUGCCUUUGGGACUGGCGGCCACGCAGCAUCGUGCGUACCUUGUGAAGGGAAGGUGGGAAUUCAGCUCCAAAGGAAACGUCGGGGCUGCCAAGGCCCGUUUAGUCAUAAACCCGCAGCAUUAUCGCCAUCCAUCACUGCCCUGCUUUCAGUGACCAUGCAGAAGGAGAGGCUUCCAGCUGUUGGGGUGGCUGCGGCUGUCAGAGCGGUGGGGCUCCCAGAUGCAGGACAGCGCUCGGUGCGCUUUGGUAGAGCCCUGCCUGAAAACCCAAAAAUCAUCUGAAUGAAUCACAAAACAUAUGUUAUGUUUUGCUGUAAAAGCCGUGGAGUUUGUGCAGCGCUCCAUUAUGGGGACUGCUCGGCUUUUCAUGCAUUCCUAAAUUACCAUGUAAUCUAAAACCUUGUUUUCAGCUGCUCUAUAUUGGAAAGUCCCUCGCAAUAAUCAAGAUGAUUACAGACUGGUGCGGAGAACAAAACGUGUUUGUGUUAUUGCAAAUACAAAUGCAGUUUAUCAGAAAUUUUACCUUUUCAAGGGAAAAAAUAAAAAUAAUAAUAAACUCUUUUUCCCUUGCUGGAAAUAUUUUAAGCGUGGAAUUAAUUUUGGCUGCUCUGCAACUUAAAAGCACAUGGAUACUCGGUGUAAAAAUAUGCUCCUUUCCUGUAGGGACUUGACUCUAAUUGGUGUGCCAAAACUAUCUCACAGAGAUUUCAUUGUCUUAUCUACUUACAUCAUCUUAAUGCGAUUUUAUUUUACUUUGUCAAAGUCAUAUUAAUGUAAAUGUGUUCUUGAUAGCAAACAGAGUUCUUUUUUAUGCUAAACGGGAUUCAGCUGCCUCCAAUAAAACAGCUUGCAAUCCAUUAGGCUAUAACUGUAAUAUAGUUAUUUUGUUUCCCAAAUAAAGACUGUGUCAGAAAGCUGUAUGAGGAUUUUUGUCUUG